UGGUCGUAACGUACCCUGGAUGGUUCUUUCCAUCCCAUGCUGGAGGUAUUUUCACACAGUGGGACUCUUAAUACCAGCGGGCCUGUGAUAUCAUGGGCAGCUGAAAGCCAGCACUCUGUAAACAUGCAGGAGAGCUGGGAAGGAUGUGACUCAAGCUGUGGUCAGCGGUCACAGAGAAAUGUAGGAUGGACGAACACAGACGGGUCAUUGUUCGCGCCAAGGCAGAGUGCAGUGGUCCUGCGUGAGGUCAUCCCUUCAGUCCGUCAGUCGAAGCAGGUGCUAGAGCAACAUUUCCACUUGUGAAAAGAAGACAAACUUCACCUUUCCCCUCGAGUGAUUGUUUGGUUGCCAUACCGACCCUGAAGUGUUUGUCGCUGAUUUUACGGCAGAUAUGGUGGUUGUUAUUGGCAAUGGAAAAUAACUAUGGAUACUUUAACAGCAGUCAUGAAGCAACAGGCUGUGGAGUAACACUGAGACAACAUGCCCUGCGCCGCUCGAGGACAAUGUGGAAACGUGGAGGUGCUGUAUGUGCGAUGACAAAUCUCCAAAGCCUUCAGAGCAGAAUGAACAAUGAUUUCCUUUCACAGAGGCAGGUGGAAACUAUUCAAGCUCAUCGCAGUCACAGGAAAACAACAAGACAACGACUGCUGUGUGAACACAAACCUCUGAGGAAACAAUGACUUGAUUUUUGCCUUAAACAUUAAAACCUGUUUUAAAGUCACACCAUGUAAUGUUGAAGGAGAGGACGUAUAAACUGCAGCACUGUUGCUGGAAAAGAAAGGACAACAGCUACAGAGAAGACCCACUGUCCAUCUCGCCCUUCACUGUUGACGUAAAGGUCAAGAGGAAACUGAUUCAAUACAUGUCUUAUAGAGAGAUAUAACGCCAUCGACGGAGGCGGAGUCAGGCGCACGCCGCCAACAGAUCGAUCUUCUCCAAGUCGUGCGACUGCCUGUCUUAGUCAGACUACGCCACGCUGCCUGUGUCAGCUGUGCAUCCAAAUCUCACCUGGUACCAUUAGAUGUGUUGUAUUGCAAUGCCAUAGUAUACAUACAGGAUCAUUAAUUCUGGGAACACAGUGGAACAUGCCCCCGGCGUGUGAAAGCGGUGUUUGUUCAUGGUGAUAAAUAUCUGCUGUGAAAAAGGUCGAGAACGCCAAGUUUAUUCAAGACAUGCUUGAGCGUUACAUACACAUGUUGCAUGAGUUUAACUAACUUAAAAUGCAUGAGACCAGCGUUCAGUCACAUCUUUCCAAUCCAAAUGCCAGCGAUCACAGAAUUUAACAGACAAAGAAACUUUUUACACAUGGUGAUACUUUUGUGUAUUAGCUGGUCUAUGUGAUGACGGAGGUGGAACUAAUAAUAAUAAUAAUUCUUUAUUAUUUGUGUAAAAAUGCAUUUAAUAAGAACAUUCAGUGUGAUGGUAGAUGCUAUUUUCUUUUUUUUGUAGUAAUGAUUUAUGCUUUGAGGUGCAGAGCUCUGCACAGCCAUGUUGCAUGAGGGACGGAGAAGAAGCCAAGUGCCUGAGGCCCCAAGCUUAAGCAGCAUUUCCUCCAGGCCGUAUAGUGCAGAUCAGUUCACCGUGGUACAGUGUGGGACGCGAAAACCCUGAUCUGGCUCGCAUUUACAUUACGAGGGCGUAUAGAGUGGAUGGCAUUAGCAAACGUCAGCUACAUGAAUACUAGCGUGACACGGUGUAACCCACUGACAUUUUUUAUCAUUUCUUCAAAGAGAAUGACGCUUCCGUUCCCAUUGAACUGUUGAUUCCCUCAACUAAUCAAUGACUGCUGUGUGUUUAGCUCUACAACAGCAGCCAAACUGAAGUGUGCCAGGAAGUGGGAUGGUACAGAUCGGUUAUUUUGGUUGCCUUCACAGCUUUUGACAAUUGAAACACAAAUAAAUAACUGUGGAACGUACUGAACAGAAUCAAACUGGACUGCUCAGUAGAAAAAGGGCCCAUUUGAACCCUGUGACCAGUUGUGUAAGGGGAAAUGUAAUGACUAGGGUCAAAUGAUCGCGUUAAUUUGCGAUUCAUUAAAUACAGUCAUAUUUAGCACGUAAGUUUUUUUAAUCACGUUUAUCUAAUUUUUAAUCUCUAACUCUACUGUUUCUGUCUGUGAGUUCUUGGCCCAAUGAACGCGACACUUACUUAAAACGCCCCGACG